ACCAUUAAGAGUGAUUGAAAGGUAAAGAGAUGAAGACAACAAACAAAGGCUAUUCUUCUAAGAAAUUUAUCAUGAAGAUAAGAAGAAAAGCAAUGAAAUGCAGAUCGACAUCUUCAUUUUGGACAUCUAGUCUCUAGAACUCUGGAACAAUAAAUUCCUGUUGAUUAUAUCACUCAGACUGUGGUACUUUGUUACAGCCCUAGCAAAACACUCCAGAGCAUCAAAAACCCUUAAAGUAAACUCCUACCUCUAAAUGUUCUAUUACAUGAGAAAAAUAAGCAACUAUUUAUUUAAACUAAACUACUGGUUGAAUCUUCUUUUUCUUAUAGUGGAUGGAAUCUCAGCUAGAUAUAAAUAGGCAAAAGAGAUCUAAAUAGGAGGAAAAUUUGAGUAAUUAAGGAGGUAAAAGCUAGGAAGAAAUGACUGGAUCAAGAAUUUCCAUGAGGUCAAAGGCAAAUAUAAAUUAGGUUUAGAGGUUAGACUAAAAUGGAAUUUAGAAUUCCAGAAGUGGAACAGUUGUAUGUAACAAUAAGAUAAUAGGUGUGCCCAUGGAUAUAGAUUGCUGUCAUCGGAUGAUAAUUAGUGAAGUUAAGGAUGUCAGGGAACUCUAAAGCCAGGUUGGUACAUUAUUAAAAGCCAUGGGCCCUGACAUCACACAUGAUGAUUAUAAUGUGAAGAGACGAGACUGAGACUAUAAAGAAAGACCAGGAGUGAGCUAACUUGAAUGAUACCAAGGAAGAUGAUAUAAUAUGAAGUAUAUCCUCAUCUGGUAAAGACAGACAGAACUCUGAAGUGGAAAGAGCACUUGUCAAGAUAUCAGGAGAUGACGGCUUUGUGAGUUCUGUCACUAACCAGUGUAUGUUCUUGACCAAAUAAUUUUACCUCUCUCAACCUUGGUUGCUCCAUCCACCAAACGAUAGCGAUCUGAAUUCGUCAGCUUCUUUUCUAUUAUGACACUUGAUUACUUCAUCACCAGAAGCUGAGCUCCCAGCUUGAGUAUGCAACAUGUCUGGACAUGUUUGGCUAAUUACUGUGGCAGCCAGCCUGCUGGCCAUUGCAGAAUGACCCAGAUGCUUCCUGAGAGAACUCAGGUUUAAGGAAGAGAAAACCAAACUCCAGGAGUCUGACAGCAACAAAGCCUUAGUUGACAGAAAGGUAAAUUCGUCCUCAUAUUUUAAAACCAGUUCAGAUCUCAUCUCUGGGAAGCUUUCCUGACUUUCUGAAGUACCUUCUCUGACUCCCACAGCACAUAGCAUGGUCUAAGAUCUCUACAGUGAUUCCCAGCACCAUAUAUAGUUCACAUAUGUAAGGGAGGGGAAAACUACAUCACUAUUUAAAACCAACACUGACUGCAGCCACUUCAGCCCCUAAGGAAGUGUAAAAUUUUUUGCAUAGAGUAGAAAGCCUUCUACUUAACAAAAUUGGUUCCUAGUCCAUUGUGGCUGUAAAAGGAGAGACCUCCAGAGUAUGAUUUGGAAUGGUUCAGUGAAACAAAGAAUAAAAUUGCCUUGCAUUCAAAAUGAGAAAGAAUUAAGGGAAUUGGAAGCAAAUUCCAAAUACAAGGACACUGUAGAGGGAGCAAAGGAUCAGACAACACCCACAUAUGGGAGGUCAUUAGCGCAAAAUCGGCCAGCUCCUGAUAGUAGAAUUGACCUAAGAAAUUCUAAAAAGAGAGUAACACUCAAGUUUAAUUAUUUUCCAUGUGUCCUUUGUCAUCACAUCACCUGAAACCUUUAAUAAUGCACACUACAUGCAUUAAUGCCUUAUGUUUCAUAGGAAAUCAAGAAAAGGGGACUGAAUUCCACAUACGGUCUGUGCAUGGCAUAGAAAAUAGGAUAGCCACGGAAGGCGAAAAACAAGUAAAAUCAAUUGUAGAAUGAGGUGACCAUGAGACUAUAAGACCAUAGAGUGUGAAACAACAACAAAACCUUGCCAAGGGCCAUGGGCUUCCUCUGGGAUAAGCAAUAAGUAUCUGAACAAUGUUUCUUAAAUGUCCAAGGAAAGGAGUUGUCAGGUACCAUCUGGUGUCCACCAGCUGACCUUGUGUUCCCCAUUACAAGAGUGAGUCCUUCAGGGUAGGGAAAUGUAUCUUAAACAUCAUUGCACCCUCAGUGCCUAGCAGAGUGUAUGACAUAUAGUAAGUAGUCAAUAAGUACUUGUUAAAUAAAUGGAUAAAUAUAUAAAGAAAUCAAUUCAUUUUUAUUAGGGCAAGAUGAGAUAGUGUCUUGGUGGUAUAAGAAAAGUAUCAAAAUGAAAAAAUGAAUGUGGAAACAGGAGAGCAGUAAAUUCAUAUUCAAAGACCUAUAAUAGGAAAAGGACUCGUAUAUUUACAUGUCAUGUUCUGCUCUUAGAAAGUAUGAGUAAUAAAACUGGAAGUGUAACACUGCAGUUAUUAAAAAGAGAAGGUAAAAUAUAGGGGAACAUGAAGUCCUCAUGAAAGACUAUAGAGAUGUGCAAAGACUAUAGAAAAAAAUAACGAUCAGGUUGACAAGCUUAGCCUCAACAUUACAGUGUUACUUUGGUGAUAAUUUCUUAUAUCAUUUCUGUGAGAAGACAGCAGCAACACUUAUACAAACCAGAAAUCAGAGGCCAAAAAAAAAAAAAAGAAUUGAAUUAAGUCUAUGACAUUCUCAAAGCCCAAUUUCCUAUUCCACACUGGCAGUGAGGAAACCAAGACCUCAAAGGAAAGACCACCCCCCAGAAUAAGGAGAUUCUCUGCCAACCUCCCUGGAAUUAUAAAGCCCUGUGGAAAUCUUAUUUCGCUACCCAUCUCUCUGCUGAAAGAACCACACCUUUCCUACACUUGCUAUUAUUUCGAAUAAUAACCUUUUGGAAUUUUUAGAUAAUCCUGGAGGCAUUUGAGAAAGUUGAGAAUCACUAUCUUUGUGGUAAAUUGUGAUUUAAAAAUAAUGUAUUGCAACUUGAAUUUCACAUGCCUAAGUCAUUUUUUCCAAAAUGGUGGAAAAAGUACCAUUCUGAUAGAUCUAAAGCAAUAAACUUGGCUUCGAAUAAUUAGAUUUACAGGUCAUAUUUAUAAUAUUAAGGCAUUCUUCCAUACUAAAGCUGAAAAAUGAAGGGUAUGGCACUUUUUUUUUUUUUAUAAAAUCAAGGCAAGGGGACUAAAUUCAAUAUGAUAGAAAGUGUUGCCAACAGGAUUGAGGGGGUGGUGUGAGGAUUACUUCAAGCCGUAAAAUUACUCCAUAUAAAUAUGUAACUUUGGUACUAGCUUUCUUUACAUUGUAGGAGAAAACAGACUAAAUUUAAAAUUCAGCAACUAUUUAUUGGGAUUUUGUUUUUAUUGCUAGGAGUUGAUAUAGCAUACACAAUAUAUAAAAGCCUGUCAUACAGACUAGCUUAUGAUCAGGCCAGAAUAAUUAUCAUAAUAUUUAAUGGGAAAAUACAAAUCUUUAUUCUAUUCUCCUAGAAAAACCAACAGUGCUCCCACUUCUCAUUUUUGAAAAAGAAUUUAUAAUAUUUGACACCAAAUGAUUCUUGCAAAGU
rnacentral:lncRNA from 1 species